rnacentral:rRNA from 1 species
GUAGGUGGCAAGCGUUGUCCGGGAAUUAUUGGGGCGUAAAGCGCGCGCAGGCGGUUCUUUAAGUCUGAUGUGAAAGCCCACGGGCUCAACCGUGGGAGGGUCAUUGGAAACUGGAGAACUUGAGUACAGAAGAGGAAAGCGGAAUUCCACGUGUAGCGGUGAAAUGCGUAGAGAUGUGGAGGAACACCAGUGGCGAAGGCGGCUUUCUGGUCUGUAACUGACGCUGAGGCGCGAAAGCGUGUGGAGCAAACAGGAUUAGAUACCCUGGUAGUCCACGCCGUAAACGAUGAGUGCUAAGUGUUAGGGGGUUUCCGCCCCUUAGUGCUGCAGCUAACGCAUUAAGCACUCCGCCUGGGGAGCACGGCCGCAAAGGCUG